UAUAUAUAUAUAUAUAUAUAGAGUAGAACUGCUGUGCUCUCAGGAGCAUGGAGGCCUCCGUGCUCCUGAGCCGUUUUUAAUGAUAGAAUUUUCGAAUCGACGAUCGGCUCUGUUAGACUUGAUCUAGCGUAUUUGAAGUUUCUAGAAAAUAAUUUUUGUAAUUUUUCGAUAUCAUUUACUUAGCAAUCGAAAGGAUUCAAAAUCAAUAAUUUUUAACGGCUGAAAAUAAAAAUUCUAUAAAAGAUGGUGAUAUAGCACUAAAAUUUUCGAUCAGAAAUAUUAAUCUUGUUGUAGAUAGUAUAAAAAAUUUUGUAUCAAAAUUUCAUUUGAUUUGAAUACUUCUACACCGUUAAACUUGAAAACAGUAGAUAUCAACCAUUAAAAAUUAUUGAUUUUGAAUCCUUCCGAUCACUAGGUAAUGAUAUUAAAAAAUAGCAAAAAUUAUUUUCUAGAAACUUUAAAUACGCUAGAUCAAGUCUAACGGAGCCGAUCGUCGAUUCGAAAAUUUCAUCAUCGAAAACGGCUCAGGAGCACGGA
rnacentral:lncRNA from 1 species